rnacentral:lncRNA from 1 species
UAUAUACCAAAUGGGCUUAUAAAACUGGUAAUAGAAUUGAACAGCUUGCUCUUACCGAGACUCUGCUUUUUGCUCUCUCUGGGGCGACUAUGAAUUUCAGGGAAUGUAGAUCAACCAAAGAGUUAAUGAACGGAAUAUGAAUUAUAAUACCGUAGGAAAAGGGGAUCCCAUAGUCACGUCUAUACUGACGGAACAUUUCAACACACUAGUUAUAACAAGACUCCGAAAUGGCGUAAUCUGAAUAACCAUUCAUAUCUUCAUCUAUAAGGUGAAUCAAUAUUUAUUCACUAAAACAAAUGCAUGCUUAUAACUGGAACACCAUUCAAUUCAAGCAAAAAAAUAAAAAUAAAAAAGGAAAUUGCACGUCUGCAGCUAAUAGAGUUACCACUAACCAGGACUCCAACUGAAAGAAGAUAGAAUUUACAGUCGUGCAUUUUAUCAAACAUGUUAUCAUCAAUAUAAUAUUCAUCAGUCGAGACAAAAUUUCAAAUAGAAAAACGUAGAUGGAUACAUACUGGGAUAUAUAACUAGCAUACUUGAAGAACACACUAUUUCUACUUUGUAGACAGGCUGACUGAUUGAGUUAUACCUAUAUGAAAUAGAAACGUGAUUCCCAGAUAGUUUCGGGCAGUUGUACUUUCCUCGAACAAGUUCCGGAGCACUUGGAACUCCUCUGCAGGCUACAUAACGUGCUGUAAAAGAUUCCAAACGAAAUUGUACCUUAUCCUCGUUGUCCCAUUGAUGUGCUGCCACGUUUGCAGUAACCCGAUCUGCACCACUGCUUUUUACACCCAAGAUUUCCGUUGGGGCCCAAUAAAUAUCUGACGGCUACCAAUAAUUGAAUUGAAAUUCUAUUAUAACGAGAAUGUGAUUCCUAGUCCUAUAGGUAUAUUAAUAAUAACCAACAACUCAAGUGCCUAUAUAUAGCUUGAUAGCUUCAGUUCCUGAUUCUUAUAUUUACAAAUACAAUUGUUUAU